rnacentral:rRNA from 1 species
UACGUAGGGGGCGAGCGUUGUCCGGAGUUACUGGGCGUAAAGGGCAUGCAGGCGGUCGGACGCGUUUCGGGUGACAGCGGGUGGCUUAACUACCCGAGUGGUCGAAAGACGGUUUGACUUGAGGACGCGAGAGGGACACGGAAUUCCGGGUGGAGUGGUGAAAUGCGCAGAUAUCAGGAGGAACACCGGUGGCGAAGGCGGGUCUCUGGGCAACAACUGACGCUGAGGAGCGAAAGCGUGGGGAGCGAACAGG